rnacentral:rRNA from 1 species
UACGGAGGGUGCAAGCGUUAUCCGGAUUCACUGGGUUUAAAGGGUGCGUAGGCGGGCAGGUAAGUCCGUGGUGAAAUCUCUGAGCUUAACUCAGAAACUGCCAUGGAUACUAUUUGUCUUGAAUAUUGUGGAGGUAAGCGGAAUAUGUCAUGUAGCGGUGAAAUGCUUAGAUAUGACAUAGAACACCGAUAGCGAAGGCAGCUUGCUACACAAUAAUUGACACUGAGGCACGAAAGCGUGGGGAUCAAACAGG